GCAAAUACGCAUCCCACUUUUACGUGAAAUAACGUGAAAUCAUGCAAAACUAGAGAGCUAAAAUGUGCGGAUGCAAAGUUGGAUUAGAAGUGUCUUCUUGACUUAAUUUUCACAAUGACUGAUUUGACAAAUCAAUGGAGAAAGUAUUCUAGUUGACGUUCAGGAUGCAGAAGGCACAACGGGGUUGCAAAUUGCAGCUACGAAUGGUUACAAAAAGUUGGCCGAACACCUUGUGGAGCAAGGCGCUGAUGUUAACCUCACGAACAGCUGUGGUUGGACAGCGCUUAUGCAUGCUGCGCAGCAUGGUCAGGUGUCUGUAGUAACGUUGCUAUUAAAUUACGGUGCGACCGUAAAUGCCACCAGCCUCUUAGGUGCUGGUGCACUAGCAUUGGCUGCAGCUGGUGGUCACCACUCAACCGUCUGCCUCCUGCUGGAAGCAGGAACAGAUAUUGUAACCAGUGCUUCCCAUUCUGGCUCGAGACUUGCUCCUUUAGCUGCUGCUGCUAUCAAUGGACAUGUGUCAGUCAUUGGUGUCCUUCUUCAGAGGGGGACCUCUGUCAACCAGGCGCUUCUAGC
rnacentral:lncRNA from 1 species